rnacentral:rRNA from 1 species
GUGGGGAAUAUUGGACAAUGGGCGAAAGCCUGAUCCAGCAAUGCCGCGUGAGUGAUGAAGGCCUUAGGGUUGUAAAGCUCUUUUACCAGGGAUGAUAAUGACAGUACCUGGAGAAUAAGCUCCGGCUAACUCCGUGCCAGCAGCCGCGGUAAUACGGAGGGAGCUAGCGUUGUUCGGAAUUACUGGGCGUAAAGCGUACGUAGGCGGUGACUCAAGUCAGAGGUGAAAGCCUGGAGCUCAACUCCAGAACUGCCUUUGAAACUAGGUCGCUAGAAUCACGGAGAGGUGAGUGGAAUUCCGAGUGUAGAGGUGAAAUUCGUAGAUAUUCGGAAGAACACCAGUGGCGAAGGCGGCUCACUGGACGUGUAUUGACGCUGAGGUACGAAAGCGUGGGGAGCAAACAGGAUUAGAAACCCCUGUAGUCC